GUUUCUCUUUCUGCAGUGGAGUCAGACCUCUAUCAGCAGUUCAUCUUUAUUUAUUAACUUUGGAUCUGUGUGCCUUCCUGUGAUUUUGUUUUAUUUUUUGCUUUUAACUAUCUUGUUGCCACGUGGUCCAUACUUUAAAAGAAUGGUUGUGGUGGUGGCAUGGGGGAUUCCAAAUUCUAUUUCACAAGUAACAGAAUUCAGUUUUGCUUUCCUGAUGACCAAAACAGAUG